UUGUAUUAUAUGUUGGGGAACUAUUCUGAAUCUUACGACUCCUUCAACAAUGCGAUUCCAAAGCUUCGCAACAGUGGAGAGAAAAAAUCUGCUUUCUUUGGUAUAGCCCUUAAUCAAAUGGGUCUCGUGUGUGUUCAGAAAUACGCUAUAAAUGAAGCUGUGGAGUUAUUUGAAGAAGCCAAGAGCAUAUUAGAGCAAGAAUAUGGACCUUAUCAUCCUGAUACUCUCGGGGUAUACAGCAACCUUGCUGGAACAUACGAUGCAAUUGGCAGGUUAGAUGAUGCAAUUGAAAUUUUGGAGUAUGUUGUUGGCAUGCGGGAGGAAAAACUUGGGACAGCCAAUCCCGAUGUCGAUGAUGAGAAGAGGAGGUUGUCUGAGUUGUUGAAAGAAGCAGGUAGAGUUCGGAGCCGAAAGGCGAGAUCACUCGAGACUCUUCUCGAUGCCAAUGCUCAUCCUGUAAACAGUAAAGGUAUUCAAGUUUGAUUAAAGAUUAAAUCACACGUGAGCGAUUAUUGUCGCAUAGUUUAGAACCGAUUGAGAAACACGGCUAGUUGUGCUCAAGUAAAUUCCUGAUUCUUG
rnacentral:misc_RNA from 1 species